CAAGUUGGGUCUCCUGGCCACUUGAUGGGAGGCUGUGGACAUCUGGCAUCUCCUCCAUCCCCCGGAGCUCUGGCUCAGGUGUACAGAUCUGGUUGAUGGAGCAACAGUGUCGGUGGCAUAUCCGUGGCUUCCUCUGAGGCAUUUGGCUUGGCAUCACCUGACGUUUUGAUUAAGAAAAAACUUUCACGAGGUGAAGUUAAUAGGGCACGUUUUGGAUGGAUGGCAGGCCUGGCUCAGCCAUGGAGCUCAAAACGCAUUUGUUGAAGGAACAAUAUCAAUA
rnacentral:lncRNA from 1 species